rnacentral:lncRNA from 1 species
GUAGCCUUAGGGCCCGAAUAAAUAGGGGUUCGCAUAAUAAAGUAGCCACAAAGGUUUUUGGGGUGUUAAAUUCCCCCCACCUUAGAAAUUUGGUUCCCCAAAAUUGCCAUGAAUAAAUCUGGGAACUUCUUUCUCAUCUCGGUCUCCAACUCGCACGUCACUUCUUCUGCAGUGUGGUGUUGCCAUUGCGCCUUCACCAUGGAGAUCCUCUUGUUGCAUAAAACCUUGUCAGUCCAACCAAGGAUU